AAGACAAGAAGCUUUGGUAUAUGCUCUCAAAAACUUUAGCAGAGGAAGCAGCUUGGAGGUUUGCAAAAGAUAAUAGGAUCGACUUGGUUGUACUUAAUCCUGGAUUUGUGAUUGGUCCUCCUUUACAGCCAGUUCUAAAUAUCACUUCAGUCGGUUCUCUCCCUCACGAGAGGAGAAAACAAUUUUCCUACUUCAAGUUAUAGGUUGGUUGACGUUCGAGAUGUUGCAUAUGCACAUAUUCAAGCAUUUGAGAUUCCUUCAGCUAAUGGCAGGUAUUGCUUAGUUGAAAGAAAUGUACAAGUUCUGAAGAUUCUGA